rnacentral:lncRNA from 1 species
UGUAUGGAUGCAUGGUUAUGGAUGGAUGUAGUAGUGUUUAGGGGAAGAGAAUGGUGCGGCAAAGGUGUGGAGAGAGCUUGGACGAAUUUCUGGAGUGAAUUCUGAAUUGUGGUGAGUGGUGAUCUGAUUUAGGGGUUAAUAGGAGUAUAUAUAGGCACUUAAAACCCUAGGGUAAUCAGAUAUGGACUUGGAUAACCCAAAUCCACAAGGAAAUAGGUCUAACAAUCAGAUUUUGCAAGGGAAAAGGGGUCCUAGGUGCGGCUGGAUAGGGAUAAGGUGGAUAAGGCUUCUAGAUGGCCUUGCAAGGCAAGGAAAUCAGGUUUCUAGAAGGGAUAGGUGCGGCACUUAAAGGAUAGGGCAGAUUAGGGCUUUUAGAAACCCUCUAAUGCAAGGAAAACUCACGGCAAGGAUGGAUAAGGUUUCUAGAACAAGGAUAAGGUAUCCUAAAUGGAUAAGGACUCCUCAUUGCACUUGGAAACUUUGCCUAUUAGGAUUAGGAAACCUUGUCUUUGUCAUUCCUUCUUCAUUCUGGAUUCCUUUUCCUUCUUGGACUUGGAAAUCUUCUUUGUAGCUGCAACUUGAUGCCAUUUGGAUUUAACUUUCCUACUUCAAGUAGGAAACCUUGUUUGAGUAGGAAUCUUCAUCUUUCAGGGAAUCCUAAUUCAACUAGGAAACCCAUUUGACUAGGAAUCCUAAUUCAACUAGGAUUCCAUCUUCACUUAGGUGCUUUCCUACUUCGACUAGGAAACCUUGUUCAAGUAGGAAACAUCAUCUUCAAAUCUUCAAUUUCGUCCAUCCUCUUGGCUCCAAGCAUAUGACAUCCAUUCCAAGCUCAACUUUGCUCCAAAAAGCUCCAAAAUGCAUCAUUUUUCAUAUUUUGCCCUUAGAACCUGAAAACACAUAAAACUAGCUUAAAAGACUACUUUACUAAGCAAAAACACUAUAAAUGCACAAGAACAAGCUAAACUAAGGCGCAUAAAUAUGCUCCUAUCAAAUUCCCCCACACUUAGCUUUUGCUAGUCCUCGAGCAAAACGAAACGAAACAAAAGAACAAAACGAAAUAAAACAAGUAAAACAACCUAAACCUUCCAACAAUCGCCUCAGAGAUUUCCAAUGCACAUGACAUGUUAAAAAUCAUCAUUCCCACAGAUUUUAGCCAUCUUUACACUUCAAGCCCAUACUUAAUCAUAGUCACUACUUACUAGUUCACAUUUAACCAAUUAAAACAAUGUUUUGAAUGUAGUAACAUGCCUUAGAGAAUCCCUCAAUUCCUUACUAGAUAUGCACUCUAUUUUCACUCAGAUUGUCUAACUACACACCCUACACUAGUUAUAUGUGAGAAGAUUGAUGUAAAAAUAAAAACGAAUGCUCACAUAUAUGUAUAACAAAGAAAGCAAUUUCCGGAGUUAAUAACAUGUUUAUAAAUAUGAUCUCAUGAAUGGAAUGCUACUACUUAGAUGCGAGAAUCAAUGACACCAUAUGCUCAAACCAAUUUCAAACUCCACAAAUUGAAACACACAACACUCAAGAUUAAAGUCAAGGGUUGUAACGGGGCUCAAGGUAUUGGCUAACAAAAACGGAUAUGGAAAACAAACGUUCUUUAAAACAAUAGUAGGCAAAGUAUGGAAAUCGAAACUUAGAAUUCUCUUUAGCAUGCCGAAAUCAAAUUCAAAACAGAAGGGAAGACUCAAACAAUCAAUUAGGGCCGAAUGCAACUCUUUGGACCCUUUCUUCAACAAACAACACUUUGGAACGCUUUUUCACAUGCUCAUCAACUAUUUUGCAUGUUUUUCACAUUUUUUUUUCUUUCUUUUCUCAUUUUUUUUUCACUUCUUUGCCGUGCCUCAUUCAAGACUUUGGCACAUCCCUAUAUCAUUAAUCCUUCCCCCACACUUGUUUCCCGCACACAUUGAUCAAAAGGAAUUCAUCUUCCGUUAUGCUUUACUACGUUUUAAGAACAAGGGUGUGGAUGGUCCUAAUCUAGGCUAGGUGAGGAUAAUGUGGUUAACAAAGAACAUAGGCUAAACAAGGCUCAACGGGGUUGAAACCUACAAAACAUAAUGGAAUAGGGAUAUACGGCUUUUGGGCUAUGGUGGACACUACACAACUUAAUCUUGAAUAUGUGUUAUGCAAAUCAAUGACAUGUUUUGAAUGAAAUGGGCAUGAGUUCUAGUGUUUGGUUCUAAGUGAUGAAACGCCUUCUAAGUAGCAACCAAGCAAAGAAUAAUGAGAUCAUGCAACGACUUUAGAAAACAAAGAAUGCACAGAUUUUAACUCUCCAAAUAAACGUUUAGGCUCAAGUCUCACAAGGUUGUAGCGUUAGUUUGAGUUACUUCCUUCAAGCAUGUUACAAAAACGGAUUUUUUACUUUAUGAUUACAUGUGAAUUCAUAAGUUAUAACCACAACCAAGCAUAAACCAAAGAGUAAAUCAAACUUUUAUCCAUGUUUAUAACUCUCUUUAACCGUCAUGCAAUUACAAACCGAAUCCUCAUCAUUGUGUUGGAAGGUAACCUAAGACACAAACAAACACACAAAAACGACUCUUUUUGGGUUUUUUUAAAACAAAUUUUUCAAAUUUUUAUGGGAUUUUCGGAUUUUUGACUCAAAACACAUUAAAACACACCAAAACAGCUUAAAAAGGCUUAAAAACAGCAAGAAACAACAUUUGAAAUUAUGGGUGACAAAACCCUACGAAUUUGCAUCAAAAAACUUUGGUUACCCCCCCACACUUAAAUCAAACAUUGUCCUCAAUGUUUCAAGCAUAGACUCACAUAAAUAACAAACAAACAAACAAAACAACAUCUAAACAACCUAACAUAGCAUAAACGAAUUGAACAACAAAGAGAAGAGUUUAGGAACGCAAAUCUGGAAUUGGAGUGCUCUCUAUGUCCUCCUUUGUUGAAUGCAUGGGUUGCCUCCCAAGUAGCGCUUGCUUUAACGUCGUACAGCCGGACGAAGACCUCAUUCACUCCUUACUAGGGCCCACGGCAGCCAAGGGUAUGUCAUCCACAGCAUGCUCCACAAAGGUGUCAUAAUAGGGCUUCAAACGAUGCCCGUUCACCUUGAAUUCUUGUCCCGUUUUCAAGCUUUGAAUUUGGACUGCACCAUGAACAAAAACAUUAGUAAUAACAAACGGUCCAAUCCACUUAGAACGUAACUUACCGGGAAACAAACGUAAACGGGAAUUGAACAAUAGCACUUUCUGCCCAAUUGAGAAUGAUUUCCCACGGAUCAUGUUGUCAUGGAAAGCUUUGGUCUUUUGCUUGUAAAUGCUUGCAUUAUCGUAUGCCUCGUGCCGUAUCUCAUCAAGCUCAUUCAAUUGCAAUCUCCUUUGACUUCCCGCUUCAUCGAGGUUCAUGUUAAACUUCUUGAUGGCCCAAAGUGCUUUGUGCUCCAAUUCAACGGGGAAAUGGCACGCCUUGCCAUAGACAAGUCGGAAAGGGGACAUCCCAAUGGGGGUUUUGUACGCCGUACGAUACGCCCAAAGUGCAUCAUCUAAUCGUAAGCUCCAAUCCUUCCUUGUUGGCCCAACUGUCUUCUCAAGUAUUUGCUUGAUCUCUCGGUUGGAAACCUCGGCUUGGCCAUUCGUUUGAGGAUGGUAAGGUGUAGAAACCUUAUGGGUGACACUGUAUUUCCUCAAUAACGCUUCAAUGGUCCGAUUGCAAAAAUGUGACCCUCCAUCACUAAUGAUCACUCGUGGCAUUCCAAACCUUGCAAAAAUGUUAGUUCUAAUAAAAUCUGCAACCACUUUAGAAUCAUUAGUCCGGGUGGCCUUGGCUUCCACCCAUUUCGACACAUAAUCAACCGCAAGCAAAAUAUACAUGAAACCAUACGAUGAAGGGAAGGGACCCAUAAAAUCAAUACCCCAAACAUAAAAAAUUUCAACAUUUAGGAUAGAAACCUGCGGCAUUUGGUCCCUUGCACUAAUACCACCCAUUCGUUGGCAUUUAUCACACGUUAAGCAAAAAGUUUUAGCAUCUUUAAAAAUACUAGGCCAAUAGAAUCCACAUUGUAACACCUUGAGGGCUGUGCGUUGUGUGCCAAAGUGCCCUCCACAUGCAUAUGUGUGACAAAAACUCAAAAUUGAAUGACAUUCAGAAUCAUGCACACAACGACGUAUAAUCUGAUCGGGGCAAAAUUUCCAUAAGUACGGAUCAUCCCACACAAAAAACCGUGCAUCAUGCCUAAGUUUAUCACGUUGGUGCCUAGUGAACUCACUUGGAAUACGUUUUGACACCAAAAAAUUAACAAUAUUGGCAUACCAAGGUGCACUAACCUUUAGGGACAUCAAUUGCUCAUCCGGGAAUGUCUCUGGAAUAGGUAUGACAUCUUCUUCAUGCACCAAACGGCUCAAGUGAUCAGCCACAACGUUCUCACUUCCUUUCUUGUCUCGGAUUUCGAUAUCGAACUCUUGGAGAAGAAGCAUCCAUCGAAUAAGCCUUGGUUUAGCCUCCUUCUUCGUGAGCAAGUACUUCAAUGCUGCAUGAUCAGUGUAAAUUAUUACUUUAGUACCAAGUAAAUAAGAACGAAACUUAUCUAAAGCAAAAACAACGGCAAGGAGUUCUUUUUCCGUUGUGGAGUAGUUCAAUUGAGCAUCGUUCAAGGUCCGAGAGGCAUAAUAUAUGACGUGUGGCUGUUUGUCCUUCCUUUGUCCCAAAACAGCGCCUAGAGCAUAAUCGGAUGCAUCGCACAUAAGCUCGAAGGGAAUGCUCCAAUCUGGUGGCCGAAUGAUGGGGGCCGAAGUUAGCAUCUCUUUGAGGUGUUUGAACGCCUUUUCACAUUCCUCGUUGAAGUCGAAGGUCACAUCCUUUUGGAGAAGUCAGCAUAGGGGUGUGGAAAUCUUUGAAAAGUCCUUGAUGAAUCGCCUAUAAAAUCCUGCAUGUCCCAAAAACGAACGAACCUCUCUAACCGAAGUCGGAGAGGGUAAGUAGCGUACAAGAUCUAUUUUCGAUUUAUCAACCUCAAUUCCCCUUGCAGAAACAAUAUGCCCUAAAACUAUGCCUUGUUUUACCAUAAAGUGACACUUUUCCCAAUUUAAAAACAAGGUUAGUUUCCAUGCAUCGUUUUAAGAUUAAUGUGAGAUUUGCUAAGCAACCAUCAAACGAAUCGCCAAAGACACUAAAAUCAUCCAUGAAUACCUCAAUAAUCUUCUCAAUAAAAUCGGAAAAGAUACUUACCAUGCAUCUUUGGAAUGUGGCCGGUGCAUUGCAUAAACCGAAUGGCAUGCGGCGGUAAGCAAAAGUACCAAAUGGGCACGUGAAGGUGGUCUUUUCUUGGUCUUCCGGAGCUAUGACAAUUUGAUUAUAUCCCGAAUAACCGUCAAGAAAACAAUAAAAAGAAUGACCAGCUAACCUUUCUAGCAUUUGAUCGAUGAAUGGUAGUGGAAAGUGGUCCUUCCUUGUGGUGUUGUUGAGCUUCCUAUAGUCAAUGCAUACUUUCCAACCUGUUUGAAUACGGGUUGGCACAAGCUCAUCCUCGGCAUUCUUCACCACAGUGACUCCGGACUUCUUUGGGACAACUUGAACCGGUGAGACCCAACGGCUAUCCGAGAUUGGAUAGAUCACUCCACAGUCGAGAAGCUUUAUAAUCUCCUUUUUCACGACUUCCAUCAUCGGAGGGUUGAGCCGGCGUUGAGCCUCUCGAGUUGGUUUAGCCCCCUCCUCUAGAAAUAUGCGAUGCAUGCAUGUUGUAGGGCUAAUUCCCUUAAUAUCGGCCAAUGUCCAUCCGAUGGCUGUUUUGUGCUCUUUCAACACCCGAAUCAACUUUUCUUCCUCUAAUGCCGUGAGUGAUGAAGAGACGAUGAUGGGCAACGUCUCUUCCUCUCCCAAGAAUGCAUACUUUAAAUGGUCUGGCAACGGUUUAAGCUCAAGAACGGAGGCCUGAAUCACAGAAGGUAACAACGUAUUAGUGGAAACGGGAAUUGGAAUUGGGUUAGAAAGCUUACCAUGAUGUUUUGGCAAUGAUUCCAAGGCAGCCACAAGCUCGGCAUGUUCAUCCUUUGGUACGGCCAUGUUGGGUUCUGUGCCAAGUCCUUGUGCAAUUGUCGUUUCGAGUGGAUCGUCCUCCAACAUAUCAAGAUAAUCCUGCGCCAAUUCAUCCAAUAUAUCAAUAGAAAAACAAGAAUGAUCAUCUUUAGGAAAUUUCAUAGCUUCAGAAAUGUUAAAGUUAAUAAUCUCCCCAUCAAAUUCCAUUGUCAACGUCCCUUUGAACACAUCGAUCUUGGUGCGUGCUGUUUUCAUGAAAGGCCUCCCAAGUAGAAUCGGCAAUGGGGUGACAUUUGGUGAGUCCUCCAUCUCUAAAACGUAGAAAUCCGCUGGAAAUAUCAAGUUAUCCACCUGCACCAACACAUCUUCCAAAACUCCUUUCGGAUAUGCAUUAGAACGAUCGGCUAAUUGAAUUAUAACACCAUCGUUUUUAAGCUCUCCUAAGUUCAUGGAUGCAUAUUGAGUAUGGCAUGACAUUAAUUGAAGCUCCUAGAUCUAACAUAGCAUGUUCAAAUUUAGUAUUGCCUAUAACACAUGGAAUUGUAAAACUUCCCGGAUCUUUGCAUUUAGGAGGUAAUUUUCUGCAAAACAGCGGAAACAUUCUCACUUACCUGGACAACCUCUUUGUUUGAAAUUCUCUUUCUUGUUGUACAUAGUUCCUUCAAAAACUUGGCGUACCUAGGUACUUGCUUAAUUGCGUCAAGGAGAGGUAUAUUGACUUGCACUUUCCGGAACGUCUCUAGAAUGUCCUUUUCAGCUUCUUCUUUCUUUGUUUGCUUGAACCUACUAGGAAAGGGGACAUUCAAAGGAAAAUCAUUAGUAGGACUGGAAUUGGACACGGUUGUACCUUUAUUUGGCAGAUUGGAUGGCUUAGGAGCCAUGGAGACUUGCGGCAAAGGAACAUCUUUCCUUGCCGUGGCCAACCCUUGUUCCUCCUCUUCAAUUAUCACUUCCUCCACCUUGUUUGGGGCUGAUUUGGAUGGUGGUGGGGUUGUUCCUACUUGUUUCCCACUUCUUAACAUGAUUGCCUUGGCGGAUUCAAAGCUUCCUUUCGGAUUUGCAAUGGUUGAGCUAGGCAAUCUUCCUUGCUCUCGAAACUGCCCCAUGAACUUGGCAAUUUGCCCUACUUGUUUCUCCAACUCGUCCACCUUUUUGUCCCUAUUUUGCAUUCCCUGCGCCAUAGAAGUUAGUAAAUUAAAAAUUUGAUCAUUAUCAAUAGACGAACCUGAUUUUUGGAUGGGUUGUGCUUGGGGUUGAGUUGGUGCAAAUGGCUUUUGAUAGAAACCUGGGGGUUGUUGCCUAAAUGUGCUUUGUUGUUGGCCUUGUUGGGGUUCUCGCCAUUUGAAAUUUGGAUGAUCACGCCAACCGGGAUUGUAGGUGUUAGAAAAGGGAUCAUUCCUUUGUUGGUAUUGCUGCCCAAAACCCACGGCAUUGAGGGUCUCCCACCCUCCGUUCUCAAUCAGUUGUGGGCAUUUGUCCGUAGGGUGUCCUUGCAUGGAACAUACGCCACACGCACUUACAUUUUGAACUUUUGGCCCUUCCACAACCUGAGAAAGCAAAGUAGUAAGGUUAGCCAUUUGAUUUUGAAGUUCGGUUAUGGCACUUACCUCAUUCACUUGGUGUUGCCGUGUGGUGCCUCUUUGUCCAACACCUUCGUAUUGUUGAGCGUUCAACGCUCGAUUGGCAAUCAAAGUCUUUGCUGACGUAGGGGUCUUGUCCACCAAUGCUCCUCCCGCCGAGGCAUCUAGCAUUUGUCGUUCGAUUGGUAGAAGUCCCUCGUAGAAGUAUUGCAGAAGAAGCUCCUCUUUCAUUUGAUGCUGUGGACAAGAAGCAACAAGAGAUUAAAACGUUCAUAGUAUGUAGGAAAAGACUCACCUUCUUCUUGUUGAAUUCCACUUAUCCUUUUUCGUAGGAGAAUGACUCGAGAGGUUGGAAAAAACUUCUCUAAGAAAGCCCGUUUCAUGCUCUCCCAAGAUGUGACCGUUCCGGGAGCUAAUUCAUAUAACCAAUCUUUCGCCUUUUCCAUAAGAGAAAAGGGAAAAGCCUUCAUCUUCAAUAUACUCCCGUCCACGUUUACCGGAGUCAUGCUUGAGCAAACGACUUCAAACUCCUUCAAGUGCUUGUUUGGAUCUUCCAUGGACAGCCCAUGGUACUUCGGAAUGUGAUGUAACAAGCUUGACUUCAAUUCGAACUCGGCAGUUUUGUCCUGUGCCGCCCUAGGGUACUGGAUACAUAGAGGUGCGGCAUUAUCCAAUCCCGAAGCGGAAAGCUCCUUGAUCGUUUUGUUGUCCGCUGCCAUGUCUUCCACUUCCUCUUCAACUUCAAAAACGGACUCGGAACUUGCACUUGAUUCACUAGGUUCCGGGUUCUUCCUCUUUCGUCUCAACUCACGCUCAAAAUCGUCGUCAAAGUCUAAAAUAUGUUCUUGAACCGGAUUAGAACUCCGAGUCAUAAACAAGUACCUAAAACAAGAAACAAAAUAACAUAAGAAUCUGAUCUAAUAAGAAAAACGAAAAUAACAAUCCAAGGGAUUAGCAAAGUUGCUAAUCCCCGGCAACGGCGCCAAAAUUUGGUGUGAAAAUUAGGUUGACACUCAAAUUAACCCUCUUUUUAUCAAUUGUAGCAAAGUAUGUAAGUAGGGAUCGUUCUAAACCGGGGAUUAGGAGGGAUUGCAAAAUCACUUGAAAACUGACUCAAAUAUGUAAAAACAAGUUUAAAACACUAAACUAGACUCAAAGAAUGCAAAACUAAACUUUAAAACACCAAAACAAACCAAAAGACUCAAAACAGCACCAAAACACUCAAAACUGCCUUAAAAACACAAUCUGGGCAGUUUUGGACACUAAGCACCAAAUUGGACGAAUUUGGGUUUUAACUUGAAUCAAAACACUUAAAAACACAAAGUAAAACACUUACUAACUAAUUUGACACUUUAAAACAAAGGGGGAUUGGUUUUGGACGAAUUUAAAAACAAAACAAACUUUGUAAAUUAGAACAGAUUGUAAAAACGAAUUUGAUUUAAAUGGGUGAAUGGAAGGCUAGCUAAGGGGUUCAUCUCCACACAUGUUAUACUUGCAUACAAAACGAUUUCCAAUUGCUUUUCAAUAAACCAUGAAUUCUCAAUGCCCCAAGUUAAUUAGGUUCCUCUUAAAUUAACCUUCAGAUUUUCCUAACGUUAUUGAAUUGGAUGAUUGCAUACGACAACCCAAAACAUUCCCCACAAGUCCCUACAUGAUUGCAUAAUAGAGAUACAAGCAAGAAUCAUUAAGUUCUAUGAAAACCAUAAGCAUUGACGAAGCACUUGUUACUAUGAUUGCAUGAAACUUAUGCCAAGAAUUUACUUAACGUGAUUGAGAUCAUCAACCUUUACUACCUUGUGAAUAUAAUUCCAUAACGAUUAGGUGAAAUUUCCUUAUAUCCUAGCAUUCAAUUUAUGCAUGAUAAUUAAGCGUGCACUCUCAACCAACACACACAAAUCAAUGUAAUUCCACAUAGAUAAGUAAAUUGAAUUCACAACUUAUGAAACGCAAUUAGAAGUAAUCAAAUCAUAACGCAAGCAUAAACAUGUAUUUCGAAUCCCCCCCUAGCCAAGGGGGGUUUAGUUCCUCAUAUGCACAAAACAAAGAGAAUUGAAUUUAAACAUUGAAAUCAAAGGAAAAGAAACACCUAGAAAUUCCAGCGACGCGAACUUGAAUUGCAUGAACUUCCGAGCUUCCUUCUCCUCCUCCUUGGUGCGGCAAAGGGUCUAGGGACUAGUUUAGGACCUUAGGUGUAUGGAUGCAUGGUUAUGGAUGGAUGUAGUAGUGUUUAGGGGAAGAGAAUGGUGCGGCAAAGGUGUGGAGAGAGCUUGGACGAAUUUCUGGAGUGAAUUCUGAAUUAUGGUGAGUGGUGAUCUGAUUUAGGGGUUAAUAGGAGUAUAUAUAGGCACUUAAAACCCUAGGGUAAUCAGAUAUGGACUUGGAUAACCCAAAUCCACAAGGAAAUAGGUCUAAACAAUCAGAUUUUGCAAGGGAAAAGGGGUCCUAGGUGCGGCUGGAUAGGGAUAAGGUGGAUAAGGCUUCUAGAUGGCCUUGCAAGGCAAGGAAAUUAGGUUUCUAGAAGGGAUAGGUGCGGCACUUAAAGGAUAGGGCAGAUUAGGGCUUCUAGAAACCCUCUAAUGCAAGGAAAACUCACGACAAGGAUGGAUAAGGUUUCUAGAACAAGGAUAAGGUAUCCUAAAUGGAUAAGGACUCCUCAUUGCACUUGGAAACUUUGGCUAUUAGGAUUAGGAAACCUUGUCCUUGUCAUUCCUUCUUCAUUCUGGAUUCCUUUUCCUUCUUGGACUUGGAAAUCUUCUUUGUAGCUGCAACUUGAUGCCAUUUGGAUUUAACUUUCCUACUUCAAGUAGGAAACCUUGUUUGAGUAGGAAUCUUCAUCUUUCAGGGAAUCUUAAUUCAACUAGGAAACCCAUUUUGACUAGGAAUCCUAAUUCAACUAGGAUUCCAUCUUCACUUAGGCGCUUUCCUACUUAAACUAGGAAACCUUGUUCAAGUAGGAAACAUCAUCUUCAAAUCUUCAAUUUCGUCCAUCCUCUUGGCUCCAAGCAUAUGACAUCCAUUCCAAGCUCAACUUUGCUCCAAAAAGCUCCAAAAUGCAUCCUUUUUCAUAUUUUGCCCUUAGAACCUGAAAACACAUAAAACUAGCUUAAAAGACUACUUUACUAAGCAAAAACACUAUAAAUGC